GUCAGCAGACACAUCCAGCCAAUCAGCAGCAGACCCUCCCUCCCAGACCCUCCCACCUCCUGGACAGCUCACUAAGAAUGCAGCUUCACAAUGAAUGUAAAAUGGAUGCUGUCCAGGAGGCGGGAAGGUCUGGGAGGGAGGGUCUGCUGCUGAUUGGCUGGAAUGUGUCUGCUG
rnacentral:miRNA from 1 species